UUUAGGAUCCAAACAACACUGAAUAACACAGUUCUUUAGGAUCUCAGUGUUGUUUGGAUCCUUAAAC
rnacentral:pre_miRNA from 1 species